rnacentral:misc_RNA from 1 species
UCUCCGUAGGUGAACCUGCGGAGGGAUCAUUACACAAUAAAAUAUGAAGGCUGUACGCGGCUGUGCUCUCGGGCCAGUUUUGCGGAGGCUGAAUUAUUUAUUACCCUUGUCUUUUGCGCACUUGUUGUUUCCUGGGCGGGUUCGCCCGCCACCAGGACCACAUCAUAAACCUUUUUUAUGCAGUUGCAAUCAGCGUCAGUAUAACAAAUGUAAAUCAUUUACAACUUUCAACAACGGAUCUCUUGGUUCUG